GAUAUAAGAAGUUAGGUUUUUCUAACUUUUCCAAAAAAUCAUUUUUUUUUAUAUCAAAAUCCUAAAAGCAGCUUUUCAAAUAUUUUUACCAAAUAUUUUUUCUCUUUUUCUAAAAGGACUUUUUGCCUUUGAAAAGAUUAGGCAAACACCUAAUUGCGUUUAAGGUUCUAAACUAAGGGAAAAUUAGGGCUUUUAAUUGCCAUUGACUUCAACGAAUCGGGAAAGCGGAGGAACAACAAAAGUCAUCGGCUGGGAAAGGAAAACGAACGUAGAGAGAAAAAAACAACGGCUUGAUGACUGGCUGAUUCGUUGAGCAAGGAAGAGGGGCACGAAAGCAAAGAACGAAGGAAGACGAAAGCUCGCAGGCGCGCUUCGUCGGUUGAUUCGCGAGAGGGAGGAGUCUCUGGGUCGAAGAGACCGAAGGAAAGGAAUAAAGGGGGAGGUGCCGGGGCUGCUGAGUCGUGGGUGAGAAGGGGAAACACCCUCGUUGUUUGAGUGAACCGAAGAAGGGAAGAACGGGGCAGUGAGGCUCGACAGGGAAGGAAGAUGAUGCAAAAAUGUGCUGAAUUUAGUGGGAAAGAAUAAUGAUCGAAAGAGGACUGCUGUUCUCUUGGUUUCAGCUUCCAUUAAGAAAAAAAAUUACAAACACGUUUUCUUUUGUGUGUAAACUCUUUUGUUCUUGUUUUGACAGAAAUCGAUGGAGGGUGAAAAGAUUGGUUCGUUUGGUGUUUGAUUUUUGACAGGGGAAAGAACGAGGGGGAGGAAGGGGGAUGGACAGUCGCUUGUUCUUCUUCUUCUUUGGUUGAAGAUCCAUAGACGGGAAGGAAAGAUAUCAUCUUUUUGAAUAGAUUUCAAUGUACUUUUCUUUGAGUUUGAAGAUCAAAGAAGAUCUGAUCGUAUCAAUUUUAUUUACAUGAUUUUGAUUGUACAGAAUUUGGCUGUGAAGGGAAAGAGUGUUUGUGUGUAAAA